rnacentral:rRNA from 1 species
UACGUAGGGGGCUAGCGUUGUCCGGAAUCAUUGGGCGUAAAGAGCGUGUAGGCGGCCCGGUAAGUCCGCUGUGAAAGUCGGGGGCUCAACCCUCGAAAGCCGGUGGAUACUGUCGGGCUCGAGUGCGGAAGAGGCGAGUGGAAUUCCUGGUGUAGCGGUGAAAUGCGCAGAUAUCAGGAAGAACACCCGUGGCUAAGGCGGCUCUCUAGUACGGUACUGACGCUGAGACGCGAAAGCGUGGGGAGCGAACAGG